GACGAACCGUGCAAACGUUAUUCGGAAUCACUGGGCUUAAAGCGCGUGUAGGCGGGACGGCACGUCGGUCGCUGAAAGCCCCCGGCUCAACCGGGGAAUGGGCGCCGAUACGACCGUCCUGGAGGAACGUAGGGGGACCUGGAACUUCCGGUGGAGCGGUGAAAUGCGUUGAGAUCGGAAGGAACGCCCGUGGCGAAAGCGGUUCUCUGGGACGGUACUGACGCUGAGACGCGAAAGCGUGGGGAGCGAACAGG
rnacentral:rRNA from 1 species